rnacentral:rRNA from 1 species
UACGUAGGGUCCGAGCGUUGUCCGGAAUUACUGGGCGUAAAGAGCUCGUAGGUGGUUUGUCGCGUUGUUCGUGAAAACUCACAGCUCAACUGUGGGCGUGCGGGCGAUACGGGCAGACUUGAGUACUGCAGGGGAGACUGGAAUUCCUGGUGUAGCGGUGGAAUGCGCAGAUAUCAGGAGGAACACCGGUGGCGAAGGCGCUGCUCUGGGCCGAAACUGACGCUGAGGAGCGAAAGCGUGGGUAGCAAACAGG